GGUGUGUAGCUAAGUGGGAGAGUACUUGCCCACCAUGAGAGAGGUCCUGGGUUCAAUCCCCUGUACCA
rnacentral:tRNA from 1 species